rnacentral:rRNA from 1 species
GCGGCCGAUAUCAGAUUAGGUAGUUGGUGAGGUAAAGGCUCACCAAGCCAACGAUCUGUAGCUGGUCUGAGAGGACCGACCAGCCACACUGGAACUGAGACACGGUCCAGACUCCUACGGGAGGCAGCAGUGGGGAAUUUUGGACAAUGGACGCAAGUCUGAUCCAGCCAUUCCGCGUGCAGGAUGAAGGCCCUCGGGUUGUAAACUGCUUUUCGUACGGAACGAAAAGGUUUCUAUUAAUACUACGGAGCUCAUGACGGUACCGUAAGAAUAAGCACCGGCUAACUACGUG